ACAUAUCUUUGGGGCGCUAUCAACAUUGGGGAGCAUAGAAAAAAAAUGGCAAAUGAAUUGGGGACGAAACCGACAUAUACAGCUACAUUUGAAUGCACAUUCAAAAGAAAGAUAAGACAUGGACUGGUGACUAAGCAAAAGCUAUUAAGG